CACUGAACUCGUUUCUCAACUCUCUUAUUAUGAAGCUCAACUCAAACGAAGCAGAAGCACAAAUCGAACACGAACCGAGUUAGAGCUGGAUCGACCUUAUUAUGAAGCCUAGAAGAAAAGGUCAACAAAUAAAAAGUGAGAGCUGGGAUGGCCAAACACGCGUUACCAUUUGAUUAAACGAAGGGAAAGUGCAGUGGUCCCCUCCACUCCCCUUAACGAACAAUCAAUCAAUCCCCUCACGCGCCACCACUGUUGGGAACGAGAUUUAUUUCUUUUGGCUAAUCUCGUCAAACCACGUGUGCUCUUUGUCGAACAUUUCGGAUUAAAAGAAACCAGUCUCCACUCUCCACUUCAGUUGGAAUGAAAAUGAUAUUCCGCCAAAACCAAGGCACACGUGUCCCUCCUUUUUCUCCCGAGUGGUUUACACCCACCCGCACCUCAUUGGCCACGUGGGGCCCGCUGAUCUCAGAACUCGAUUACACCAUUGGACGCCAGCUUUAGGUGGGACCCCCACGCAAACGUAUCAGCCAAUGGCCUUUGAGCGCUGUUGGAGAGGUGCCCUAGACACGUGGUGCUUCUCUGCUCCGUUGCUAUGAUUAUCGCUUCAGCUAACCGGAGAGACUACAGAGAGAGAGAGAGAGAGAGGCAGAGAGAGACAGAAAGAGAGAGAAACACAUAGCCGGAGAUCGGCCAGAUCGUCGGGAGAGGAGGCUGAAGAGAGUCAUGGACGGCGGAGGUGGACGGUACGUGGCAUACGGCGGUGGAGGUGGUCAGGAGAAAACGAUAAUCAACCGGAUAAUGCUCAGAUUCCGUCCAAUCGCUCCCAAACCGGUCCCCGGAGUUUCCUCUUCAGGUGGUACUGUCCCCGAGACUGAUAACAGAAGCUUGUAUAAUACUCCGAGCAGGAGAGUUAAGAGGAGGAACAUUCGUGCCAAGAAAAGACUGAAAAGUAAUAGAUCUUCAACAGCAGAUGCAAAAACCGGUAUGAUAAACUCGACCGCCGUCACGCUUCAGCUUUUGCCCGGAGAAGCAAGCUCCAGAGACGGCGGAGAAGUAUCAGGUAUCAGAUCUUGGUUAAGUCUUGACCAGAAGUUUGAGAGAACUCCAGAUAUUCAGGACCACCUAACUUCGUGGUUAAACACAAGACCGUUCAAUGGCUGGACUGAUAUAACAAAACUGGAGGCUGGAUCUGACCGAGGCAGGUUGGUAGAAGCUGCUCCGGUGCCGGUUGUGGAGUCGCGGGUGACGGUGGAAAGCGUGACAGACACGUGCAUGGAUGUACGAGGAUUAGGUUAUACGGACGUUGAGAAAGUGAGGAGUUUGGAGAAGGACACGUGUCCGGGGUUUGUAUCAGACGGUUUUAACAGAGUUCAGUGGGUGAACGAGGCUUAUAAGAAGAUGGUUAGGCAAGGGCGAGACGAGCAGUCGCCGGAGGUUAGGGUUUGGCUGGUGGUGAAGGCGGAGUUGCCGGAAAAUGAGAACCCGGCGUUCAGUUGCAGGGUGAAACUGCAGCACACUUGGCAGAACAAGAAGUGUUCGAAAAUGGUGGUGCCCUGUGAUGUAUGGAGGAUGGUGGAGGGUGGGAAGUUGGCUUGGAGGCUGGACAUGAAGGCUGCGCUCAGUUUGGGUCUUUAAAAUGGAAGACCGGCUGGUUCUUAUUAUUAUUAUCAGAAUAAAAAGUCUGGAAGGACGCUCCUUUGAUUGAGAUGUCGUUUUUAGUCAGCAUUGGAUAAAUUUUAAGAUAAUGAAGAGCAUCCCAAGUAUACCCUCCUUCAGAAAGAUAAAAUUGAAAGGUAAGGUAGAAUGAUAG